UACGUAGGAGGCAAGCGUUGUCCGGAAUACUGGGCGUAAAGCGCGUGUAGGUGGUGGGACAAGUCUGCUGUGAAAGCGCCUGGCUUAACCGGGCGAGGUCGGCGGAAACUGUCCGACUCGAGGACGGUAGAGGGGGGUGGAAUUCCCGGUGUAGUGGUGAAAUGCGUAGAGAUCGGGAGGAACACCUGUGGCGAAGGCGGCCCCCUGGCGGCCCUGACACUGAGACGCGAAGGCGUGGGGAGCGAACGGG
rnacentral:rRNA from 1 species